rnacentral:rRNA from 1 species
CCUACGGGUGGCAGCAGUGAGGAAUAUUGGUCAAUGGACGCAAGUCUGAACCAGCCAUGCCGCGUGCAGGAAGACGGCUCUAUGAGUUGUAAACUGCUUUUGUACGAGGGUAAACGCAGAUACGCGUAUCUGUCUGAAAGUAUACUACGAAUAAGGAUCGGCCAACUCCGUGCCAGCAGCCGCGGCAAUACGGAGGAUUCAAGCGUUAUCCGGAUUUAUUGGGUUUAAAGUGUGCGUAGGCGGUCGGAUAAGUUAGAGGUGAAAUCCCGGGGCUCAACUUCGGAAUUGCCUCUGAUACUGUGCGGCUAGAGAGUAGUUGCGGGAGGCGGAAUGUAUGGUGUAGCGGUGAAAUGCUUAGAGAUCAUACAGAACACCGGUUGCGAAGGCAGCUUACCAGGCUACUUCUGACGUUGAGGCACGAAGGCGUGGGGAGCGAAAAGGAUUAGAUACCCGUGUAGUC